rnacentral:snoRNA from 1 species
UGUAGUCAACUCAAAAUUCAGUGUUUGCUUCUGUCAUAGCAGGGACUGUCUCAGAUGGGUGCUACAGUAGGCUCUGCCACAGGAGCUCCUAGGCCCCAGCCCUCUUUUCUGCGGCCUGGGGUUCAGUUGGCUAUGGAUACCU